GGUGCCGGAGUCCGGAAGCUGACGGCGGUGCGUGGAAAUCGUCGCGGAGUUCAGUGUUUUGCUUUUGGGGAUCACAAACUCAGGGGCACACUGGCCCGGCGGGCGCAUCCAGCCGUUGGCGUAUGUGUGGGCAGAAAAUGCAGACGAGAAAGUGGGUGGCGCUUGGCUAAUGCGGGCUGGAGCCCUUGACUUGGAGUGCCCAGUCCAGCGCCGCGGUCCUACAGAGGCCCCUGGGAUCUGAGCUGGCGAGGGUGGCGCGGCGGGUCCUACCCAAGGCCAGAAAGUUCGCUGCGGUCCCAGCUCUUUUGGGCAGCCUCUCUGAGGUAGAGCUCUCAGACGGUCUUCAGCCCGGUGGAACGCCCUGGUGUCCCACUCCACCCGUUCAUCCCGACUUCCUGGGCCGUCUCUAGAGCCCAGUUGGUAGUUGGGCCCAGUUGGCAUAUGUUUCAGAUGAAAAAUUCAUUACGGACUUGAGAUGCUAGGUUGGAGACAAAUCUCAUGUCAGUGGCAGAGAAAGAAUUCGAAGCUGUGCUUUCAUUGAGGGGAAGGGCCAGAAGACCCAGCUCUAGGUUUUUCUGACAAGCACAAGUUUUGGGGAAGUCCCUGUGCUUCACUAGCCUCAGUUUUCUUCCUAUAAUGGGGGUAGGGCUUUUCCUACCUACCUCAUUCACUUUGUGUAGAGUUAAAAGUAAUACACAUUUUGCCAAUAAUGUAUUCACUGCUUGAACCAAAAACUACCCUAAUGUGUUGUAGAACAACUUUGGCA
rnacentral:lncRNA from 1 species